rnacentral:rRNA from 1 species
UACGUAGGUGGCAAGCGUUGUCCGGAAUUAUUGGGCGUAAAGCGCGCGCAGGCGGUCCUUUAAGUCUGAUGUGAAAGCCCACGGCUCAACCGUGGAGGGUCAUUGGAAACUGGGGGACUUGAGUGCAGAAGAGGAAAGCGGAAUUCCACGUGUAGCGGUGAAAUGCGUAGAGAUGUGGAGGAACACCGGUGGCGAAGGCGGCUUUCUGGGACGGUACUGACGCUGGAGACGCGAAAGCGUGGGGAGCGAACAGG